rnacentral:rRNA from 1 species
AUUGAACGCUGGCGGCAUGCCUUACACAUGCAAGUCGAACGGUAACGGGCCUUCGGGUGCCGACGAGUGGCGAACGGGUGAGUAAUGCAUCGGAACGUACCCAUCAGUGGGGGAUAACUCUCCGAAAGGAGGGCUAAUACCGCAUAUUCUGUGCGCAGGAAAGCGGGGGACCGCAAGGCCUCGCGCUGAUGGAGCGGGCGAUGUCAGAUUAGCUAGUUGGUGGGGUAAAGGCCUACCAAGGCGACGAUCUGGAGCGGGUCUGAGAGGAUGAUCCGCCACACUGGGACUGAGACACGGCCCAGACUCCUACGGGAGGCAGCAGUGGGGAAUUUUGGACAAUGGGGGCAACCCUGAUCCAGCCAUGCCGCGUGAGUGAAGAAGGCCUUCGGGUUGUAAAGCUCUUUCGGCCGGGAAGAAAUCGCAUCUCCUAAUACGGGGUGUGGAUGACGGUACCGGAAUAAGAAGCACCGGCUAACUACGUGCCAGCCGCCGCGGUAA